GGUGCUGCAUGGCUGUCGUCAGCUCGUGCCGUGAGGUGUUGGGUUAAGUCCCGCAACGAGCGCAACCCUAUUGCCAGUUGCUACCAGGUAAUGCUGGGCACUCUGGUGAGACUGCCCCGGUUAACGGGGAGGAAGGUGGGACGACGUCAAGUCAUCAUGGCCCUUACGCCUAGGGCUACACACGUACUACAAUGGCGCAUACAAAGGGCAGCGAUACCGCGAGGUGGAGCCAAUCCCAAAAAGUGCGUCCCAGUCCGGAUUGCAGUCUGCAACUCGACUGCAUGAAGUUGGAAUCGCUAGUAAUUCGAGAUCAGCAUGCUCGGGUGAAUGCGUUCCCGGGCCUU
rnacentral:rRNA from 1 species